rnacentral:rRNA from 1 species
GAUGAACGCUAGCGGCAGGCCUAACACAUGCAAGUCGAGGGGUAGCAGGAUUAAGCUUGCUUAAUUGCUGACGACCGGCGCACGGGUGCGUAACGCGUAUGCAACCUACCUUAUACUGGGGUAUAGCCCGGAGAAAUUCGGAUUAAUCCCCCAUAGUACUAAUGAAUCGCAUGGUUUAUUAGUUAAAGCAUUGCGGUAUAAGAUGGGCAUGCGUCCUAUUAGCUAGAUGGUGAGGUAACGGCUCACCAUGGCUACGAUAGGUAGGGGGCCUGGGAGGGUGGUCCCCCACCAUGGUACUGAAACACGGACCAGACUCCUACGGGAGGCAGCAGUGAGGAAUAUUGGUUAAUGGGCGCAAGCCUGAACCAGCCAUGCCGCGUGCAGGAAGAAUGCCCUAUGGGUUGUAAACUGCUUUUAUUUGGGAAUAAACCCCUUUACGUGUAGAGAGCUGAAGGUACCAAAUGAAUAAGCACCGGCUAACUCCGUGCCAGCCGCCGCCGUAA